AAAAUGUCACAGCCUUCUUCGCCUUCCUGGGCUUCAGGCGCCAGACAUCACACAGUUCUACACACCAAAUACCACUAUCUGGACUUUGCUGACAACACGAAGGAAAAUAACCUGCAAAGUUGAUUACGUGAAUAAUGCAACCAAUACUUCGGUUUUCUUUAAGAGAGAAUAUUGCUUAGGCCAUGAAUGGGUCAAUACAACUUUGCAGGGGAUUUUCAUAACUAUCAGCCUUUUUACUAACGCUACGUAUGAUGCAAUGAGAGUGUCUCC